rnacentral:tRNA from 1 species
AAUUAAGUAACUUAAAUUUAAAGUAAUAAUUUUUUAAAUUAUUUAUAGUAAUUUUGUUAGUACUCUUGAUUA